rnacentral:rRNA from 1 species
CCUACGGGGUGCAGCAGUAGGGAAUCUUCCACAAUGGGCGAAAGCCUGAUGGAGCAACGCCGCGUGGGUGAAGAAGGUCUUCGGAUCGUAAAACCCUGUUGUUAGAGAAGAAAGUGCGUGAGAGUAACUGUUCACGUUUCGACGGUAUCUAACCAGAAAGCCACGGCUAACUACGUGCCAGCAGCCGCGGUAAUACGUAGGUGGCAAGCGUUAUCCGGAUUUAUUGGGCGUAAAGGGAACGCAGGCGGUCUUGUAAGUCUGAUGUGAAAGCCUUGGGCUUAACCGGAGUAGUGCAUUGGAAACUGGGAGACUUGAGUGCAGAAGAGGAGAGUGGAACUCCAUGUGUAGCGGUGAAAUGCGUAGAUAUAUGGAAGAACACCAGUGGCGAAGGCGGCUCACUGGUCUGUAACUGACGCUGAGGUUCGAAAGCGUGGGUAGCAAACAGGAUUAGAUACCCCGGUAGUC